rnacentral:tRNA from 13 species
GACUCGGUGGCGCAACGGUAGCGCGUCUGACUCCAGAUCAGAAUUCUGCGUGUUCAAAUCACAUCCGGGUCA